rnacentral:lncRNA from 1 species
CCGAAUAUAGUAGGAAGAACAACCUUGGCAAAAGCUUGUAUCCCAACACAUGUCAUGAACUAUAUAAAGCUACCCAAACAAAUUACUGCUAAUAUUGACAAAAUACAAAUGGGGUACACAACUGAAAAGAAGAAACUCUUUGUAAAGAAAUGGGAGGAUUGGGGAUCCAAAAAAGCAGCCACAAAAAUUUAGCUAUGCUUUCUAAACUAGCUUGGAAGAGCUAUAAAGAAAACUCUUUCUGUGGGCAAAAGUAUUGUGCAAAAAAUAUGCACAAAAAAAAAAAACAAGUCGUACUGGGAAAGGCAAAAACAAUCUAGAUACAAUAGUAAUACUUGAAAAAAUGUAAUUCAAUGUAAUACAAUCUAAAUGUAAUACUGCUUAUGGGACUAAACAUGGCAGUCAAGAUGCAAUUUAAUCCAAUUUCUGUAGCAACUGAUUCUAUUAAACUAUCAACGUCUCUAAAUAAUAACUUUGCUAAUGAAACCAACUUGCUUUCAUCUUGUAGGGAUCUUCUUCAGCAGCUGCUGGGGAGGCUGCAGGUUCGCCAUGAAAAUGCUGUUGCGGACAUGCUAAGCGCCAAGGAGGGCAAUAAGUUAGGAAGGGAAGAAUAGACAAGGCUACAACUUUGCAAUGUAUGCCCAUAAAUAUCAAUAUAUGUACUAAUAGUGUUAGGCCCCAUAAAUAUGAAUAUAUGUACUAAGGAUUCGUUUGGUAGAG